rnacentral:rRNA from 1 species
UGUUCCUACGGGAGGCAGCAGUGAGGAAUAUUGGUCAAUGGUCGGGAGACUGAACCAGCCAAGCCGCGUGAGGGAUGAAGGUACAGAGUAUCGUAAACCUCUUUUGUCAGGGAACAAAGGCGGGGACGUGUCCCCGGAUGAGUGUACCUGAAGAAAAAGCAUCGGCUAACUCCGUGCCAGCAGCCGCGGUAAUACGGAGGAUGCGAGCGUUAUCCGGAUUUAUUGGGUUUAAAGGGAGCGUAGGCCGGCUUUUAAGUCAGCUGUGAAAGUCCGCGGCUCAACCGGGGAAUUGCAGUUGAAACUGG